GUAGAGUUUCAGUCCUGGGCAGAUGCCUCUGGGUUGUAUGUUUUCCUAGACUGCCCUCUGCAGAGCGUGCCAGAGAGGAGACUGGUAGAACUCUGCUCUGGUCAGUGAGAGCUGUUGGCAUUUUUUUUUCUGUCUAAUAACUUCAUGCUUCAAUCCAAUUACUUUGGCAUCAUUAGGAUUGUGACUGCUGUUUUUGUUGGUGCCACUCAGUGCCAAUUACUUCUGUUGCUGAUAUUCAUGUUACCCAGGCAAGCCUUGCAGGCUGUACUGCUUGCUGCUAGGGACAAGCCACACUUCCCUGUGGACCUCAGUAGUUGCCAUAAGAAAAAUUACAAGGUGAUAAAAUGCCUUUGAGGUUUUAGUUUUCAGAGCUUAUUUAGAGUUAGAAUUAAUGCGCUGAGCAGGUCUGAACACAUAUGCACACAUGUGUACACAAACACAGAUGUACACACAUGCACACAAUUCACAUAUAUGCAUACUCAUGUAUACAUAUGCACACAUGCACACAGCACAUGCAUACCAUCAUGGUGACUUUGCUAAAGUGCCAAAGAGUAGGAUGCUGACAAAAGAACUCUUAACACAAUAGUCAUUUCAACGAGAAAGGGACAGAAUCAAUUCUGUGAGUACAUAGAACAAUGUAGCUGUUCCUGUAGCCUUAUUCCUUACAAAAUGGUUCGAGCAUGGAAAAAAUGGCCAAAAUGCUAAUAAAGCAGGAUUAGUGGUGGCCAGAUACCAUGAAUGACCCUGUCCUAGGGCACAAGCAGGGAUUCUAAGGUUGGUCCCUGCUGUCAGGAGAUGUGGGCUGAGUACCCUGACACUAUGCAGGCAUGUAUACCUGCACUGUGCUUCAUGGUUCAAUACAUAAGCUCCUUUCACCUUACAACAAACCCUAUAUCACUUUAUUUCACAGUUGGGGAAACUGAGGUCUAGAGUAGUAGAGUGGUUUGUUUCUCUUACUAUAUUCCAGAUUAAACUCCAGGUCCAUAAUUUGAGUGUAAGUGUUUGGACAGCAACUUUUGUUGUUAACUUUUUAUUUGGUCUGAUUUGGUUUCUAUAAAAUGAUAUCAGUGUAAAUAAAGGUAGAACCAGAAGCCUGGGCUGACUUGGGAAGGUGACUUGGGUCACUGGAUAGAAUUCAGGAUGGCUUUGCUGUGUACAUUGUGCAAAUAUGGUCUCAUAGGGAUGAGUGUGGCUGAAUUAGCUGGUGGGUGCCUCUCUGAAGGUUGGACAUUCCUUGAGCUGGGUGGGUGGCUUGUUCUUGCCCAGAGCCUAGGUGAUAUUCAAGUAAUUUAUCUCUUUAUACCAUAUUCCCCACUGUGAUUCUGGUUUGCCCAGCAGUGUGGCUCUAGAGUGGGGCCAUGUGGCCUGGAAAGAGAAAUUGCCUGUGAAGUUCUGGGUCAGAGCAGACAGUUUCCAAAAAGAGAGGUGACCUGGGCUUUUCCACAGAGAAUCAGGAAGAAGCUAAGGAUGUGGUAAUAAAAUCCACAGUCUUCUGUGGGUCUUCUAAGUACAAUCUGUCCCUUUAUCUCUUGUCCCUCUGGAGGACACCCACUAGGACUUCAGCCAUUGGCACUGGGGACAGCUGGAGCUGUUUCCGAGCUUCAUCGCUCUUGUGCUGUUGAGCCAAAUCUUUUCCUAGAUGUUCACACCUCCCCGUUCUCUUACUUGGCGGCA
rnacentral:lncRNA from 1 species